AAAACUUUAUGUAAUUGCAUAAAAGCCCCAAAAAUACCCUAUUUUAUUAGGGUGGCCGGUUUUUAGGGAUAAAAGGUGUGGUGUGUGUUUUGAUUUAUUAGUUUUGUCAAAAACAAUCAAGUGGUGCAUAAGAAAAGAAAUUCUUAUCACCUUUUCUUUUACCUUUCAUAAUGAUGAUAGAUAUUUCUAUUGCUAUUUAAUCAAAUAUCUAACAUUUUAAAUACAUGAUAAAUCAUUUGAAAAACAUAUAACAUAAACUUUAUGAAAUAUUCAAAACUUUGAAUCAAAACACAAAACCUUUUUGUUCUUGGCAAGAACAUCAAGAACAUUGAAGAACAUCCAUGAAAACCCAUAAGAGCUCCAUGAAUGUUUUCAAGCCAUAAAACUCAAAUUUUCACCAUUCAAAAUGGUGUUAACAUCCUAGGGUACUUAGGGGUUCCAAAAGUCACCUUAAAACAUUUUUAACAAGACAAACAUGAACCCAAAAAAUCACCCUUUGGAUUUGGCCGAAAAUCCCCAAAAUCAUG
rnacentral:lncRNA from 1 species